rnacentral:rRNA from 1 species
UGACCUGGGCUACACACGUGCUACAAUGGGCGGUACAAAGGGUCGCGAACCCGCGAGGGGAGCCAAUCCCAAAAAGCCGCUCUCAGUUCGGAUUGCAGGCUGCAACUCGCCUGCAUGAAGCCGGAAUCGCUAGUAAUCGCGGAUCAGCAUGCCGCGGUGAAUACGUCCCCGGGCCUU